rnacentral:rRNA from 2 species
GAAAGUCGCUACACGGGAACCCUAGUUUUUCAAGGGGAGCCGUCAAUGUUUAGCUUGGUCCCGUUGGUUAGCGGCGGACGGGUGAGUAACACGUGGGCAACCUGCCUGUAAGACUGGGAUAACUUCGGGAAACCGGAGCUAAUACCGGAUAAUUCUUUUCCUCACAUGAGGAAAAGCUGAAAGUCGGUUUCGGCUGACACUUACAGAUGGGCCCGCGGCGCAUUAGCUAGUUGGUGAGGUAACGGCUCACCAAGGCGACGAUGCGUAGCCGACCUGAGAGGGUGAUCGGCCACACUGGGACUGAGACACGGCCCAGACUCCUACGGGAGGCAGCAGUAGGGAAUCUUCCACAAUGGACGAAAGUCUGAUGGAGCAGCGCCGCGUGAGCGAUGAAGGCCUUCGGGUCGUAAAGCUCUGUUGUUAGGGAAGAACAAGUACCGGAGUAACUGCCGGUACCUUGACGGUACCUAACCAGAAAGCCACGGCUAACUACGUGCCAGCAGCCGCGGUAAUACGUAGGUGGCAAGCGUUGUCCGGAAUUAUUGGGCGUAAAGCGCGCGCAGGCGGUCCUUUAAGUCUGAUGUGAAAGCCCACGGCUCACCGUGGAGGGUCAUUGGAAAACUGGGGGACUUGGAGUGCAAAAAAGGAAAGCGGAAAUUCCACGUGUAACCG